CCAAUUACCCCUUCUCAUACUGCCUCAAUAUAAAAGCGACAGGACAGAAAUGAAACUUCAACAAACAAAAUCGAUUGGUUGCUGUUUUUCCUAAACGUCAUUUACAAAUCAGUCAUAUUACGUGCUAUAAAUACUCAACUCCAGAAUCAUCGUUUGCUCACAUUCUACCUAAUUAUUCCAUUACACUAUUUACUAUCCUUUCAACGUUGUCUGAAAAUGGAAUCCCCAUACGAAGUUGAAGUAAAAAUAACAUCAGCCAAGGAUUUGAAGAACGUCAACUGGCGUUACGGUCCCCUGAAACCCUACGCAGUUGUCUGGGUUAAUCCCAAUGCUAAAUGCUCCACUAAGGUCGACGAAGAAGGCGAUACUUCACCUUAUUGGAACGAAAAACUCGUCGUUCCUUUGAAUUCUCAGAUUGAAGAUUCCACCUUGUACAUCGACAUCGUUCAUGCUAAUGCAGAAGAAGACACCAA
rnacentral:lncRNA from 1 species